UGGACGUCGUUUCCCUGCACAAAGAGAAGAGGAGAGGAUCUACGUAUACGUGAAAAGAAAAGGAAGAAAGUAAAGCAAUGCAAAAACAUAAAGCGAAAGAAAGGGGACCUUACAGGAACAAGCUCACAUCAAGCGCAAAACAGCGGUGUUUGGAGAAGCUCUCAGGCAGCUCCCUGCAGCAGCACAGAGACCUAAACAAUUUCCUCAGUGCACACAUAUGGACAUUGGGAAUUAUAUUGUUUACGAUAUGGCUGAAAAAGGUGAAUGCUGUAGCAGCAAAGUGUGGGACUACUUCUGCAAAUACUUUAACUUGAGUAUUAUAAUUCAUUUACAGUACACACAUAGACUGUUAAAACCAGCUUCAACUGGAAGAAAGUAAAAGUGUUAAAUGUUUAAAAUCAGACUGUUUUUUUGAUCAUUAAAAAAUAUAUACUUUUGAUGAGCAAUUGUUUAGUCAUUGAGACCGUAAUCUAAGGCUUUUUUUUUUUACAUUAAUCCCUUCUGGAAAAUGGUUUAUUCAGCCCACAUACAUAGAACAGGCAGAUAUUUUGCUAUUGAAUGUUGUGUAAGUGCAGUUUAUAGGAAAUGGGUAUAAUAUCCAGUUUAUUUUCAAAAGCAAAAUAUCGGCUUAUAAAUCGGCUCUUUUUGAGUUAAUAUCGGCAUUGGGCCCCAAAAAUCCAUAUCGGUCGGGCUCUAAAAAAUAGUAACCUAAAAAUUUUAUAAUCUAAAUUAACACAUUUUAUUCAAAUCUAAAAUAUUAUUAAACAUCACUUAAUUAAUCAUUAAUUUAUAAAUUACAUCAUUUAUAAUUAAUAAGCUGAUCUAAUAAAGACAUGGCACAGCCUCUACUUAGCUUGUGCUAAUGCUUCAAAAGCUGAAUUGUUUGCAAAUGGUCAGUCAUUGCUCAUAUCUGUCCCACGGCCACUCUCAUGAGGAAAUCUUAACCUGUUCACCCUUCAAAGCUAGGCCGACUUAAUUCUGCUCUAGCAGGAAGGCCUUUACGCUGAGCCAUGCCCUUUUGGAUGCGCUUACUUCUUAGCCCCUUCAGUAAGCAGUUAUGGGAGAUUGUGUGUAAUGUCUGUGCUUGUAGAGGUCCCCUGAAUUUUAUGACUGGUAUUAUAUAUCCUUUACUUUUCAGUGUUGGAACUGUUCCGAGCCAAUUAUGUGGCAUGAUUGGAUAUGGUUUUCCAUAGCAUCAACAACUGACGCAAAGCUGAGUGAACUAUAAUAUGACAAGCAGUGUAACCUUCAGAAGCCCCUCUCUGAAUAGUUCAGGGAAGAGAGAGAGCGGAAGGAUGACUGAAGCCCUUGGCAAGAGACCACCACCCGCUACAGAGAAAUCACAAAUCAAAUCCGAUAAGAAAAGGAGCCGAACCAGAGUAAACAUCAGCACUGCUUUCAAUCACUGGAGAUAACUGAUGGACUUGAAAGAAAUGAGGUUCGACUCCGAACUUGCAACAUUUCUUUUGGAUUGCACUAGACUCCUCCAGCUGUAAACCACUAUUCUCUACUUCCAGCUGUUCUCACCUCGCAUCAGCAGAAGUGUCUCCUGAACUGAAGUUGGAUGGUUCACACGCUGACUGAUUACUCUUCAUAGACACAAAACUGGGUUCAGGAGAUUCUUUCUGUAUCAGACUGAAACACAACAGCACUUUUUAAUACACUCUUUUAAGCAGUGUUCACAAAAAAAAAAAGAAAGGAAAAAUGUUAGUUUCAAAAGUAAAAAAAAAAAAAGGAAAAAUGUUAGUUUCAAAUGAAAAAAAAAAAAAAAGGAAAAAUGUUAGUUUCAAAUGUAAAAAAAAAAAAAGGAAAAAUGUUAGUUUCAAAUGUAAAAAAAAAAAAAAAAAAAAAGAUGAUUUUAUAUUUUCAAGAAAAGGUUGAUGAUUAAAGCUUUCUUGUGAUGUAACCAUUAAGCAGAAGUAAUUAUAUAUAGUCAUGGUACCUUGUGUGUACACAUCUUAAGUUAUAAAAAAAAAGCUUUUGUACCUUUUAGAAAUAUUGUGUAAAAAAAAAAUCAUAAAUUACAAUAUCAUAAAAACUGCAAUAAGAAUAUGUAAGUACAUAAAUCAGUGUUCAAAUCUGCCUCCCAGACCCAGAUUCAACACUAUCAGCUUACAACAAUAAUUUUAGCGUCGAGUUGGAUUUCAGUAAAAAAUAUAUACUGUAUAUUAUUUUGUCAUUCAAGUGUCAUUUGCACUAAGUGUCAUUCACUUUUAUCGUGUUUGUGUGUUUUCGCGCAUGUUCCAGUGACUUAUUUCUUAUUAGUUUUCUAAUAACUUAUCUUUGGUGAUGAAAUGAUGGGGUUGCGUGAUGUUGUUCCUGAGAGGUGUGUAAAGGGUGUGCUUAAGUGACGCGCAGCGGAGCUAUUCUGGCCUCUGUGCUACUGGCCCGAGGCUAUGAGCCCCGCCCGGCCCUCUUUAAGCCCUGGAACGCACUGGCCCGACAGUGGAAAUUAGGCUUUUGAGAAUAUAUGACCCUUAUGUUAUCAGUCUCAUCUAACAACUGUCUUUGCCAAGGUCAUGUUCACGCUCAGGUCAAGUUAUUUUUGUGUUUUUAUUAGCUUUGUAUUUGUUUUGUUUUUUAUUAUUUUAAAAAACUACAGAUGGGUUCAACUCAGUUCACCUUCAGUAGACAUUUGUUACAAAUGCAUGCAGUUUUUACAAUUUACUCUGACAAUGAAGCAGACAGAGCUGUUCCUUCAGCUCUAAACAUGGAACUGGGAAGAUUAUUCUCACCUCACAUCAGCAGAAGUGUCUCCUGAACUGAAGUUGGAUGGUUCACACGCUGACUGAUUGCUCUUCAUAGACACAAAACUGGGUUCAGGAGAUUCUUUCUGUAUCAGACUGAAGCACAACAAUAAUUAAACAAUGUUUUUAGAGUG